UACGUAGGGGGCGAGCGUUGUCCGGAUUCACUGGGCGUAAAGGACGCGCAGGCGGCCCGAGGGGUCCGUCGUUAAAGCCCGGGGCUUAACUCCGGGUGGUCGGCGGGGACCGGCGGGCUUGGAGGCCGGUAGAGGGAUGCGGAAUUCCCGGUGUAGUGGUGAAAUGCGUAGAGAUCGGGAGGAACACCAGAGGCGAAAGCGGCAUCCUGGGCCGGGCCUGACGCUGAGGCGUGAAAGCGUGGGGAGCGAACCGG
rnacentral:rRNA from 1 species